rnacentral:rRNA from 1 species
GAUGAACGCUGGCGGCGUGCCUAAUACAUGCAAGUCGAGCGAACGGACGAGAAGCUUGCUUCUCUGAUGUUAGCGGCGGACGGGUGAGUAACACGUGUAUAACCUACCUAUAAGACUGGGAUAACUUCGGGAAACCGGAGCUAAUACCGGAUAAUAUUUCGAACCGCAUGGUUCAAAAGUGAAAGACGGUCUUUGUGUCACUUCUAGAUGGAUCCGCGCUGCAUUAGCUAGUUGGUAAGGUAACGGCUUACCAAGGCAACGAUGCAUAGCCGACCUGAGUGGGUGAUCGGCCGCACUGGAACUGAGACACGGACCAGACUCCUACGGGAGGCAGCAGUAGGGAAUCUUACGCAAUGGGCGAAAGCCUGACGGAGCAACGCCGCGUGAGUGAUGAAGGUCUUCGGAUCGUAAAACUCUGUUAUUAGGGAAGAACAGAUGUGUAAGUAACUGUGCACAUCUUGACGGUACCUAAUAAGAAAGCAACGGCUAACUACGUG